rnacentral:rRNA from 1 species
UACGUAGGGUGCGAGCGUUGUCCGGAAUUAUUGGGCGUAAAGAGCUCGUCGGCGGUCUGUCGCGUCGGCUGUGAAAACCCGGGGCUCAACCCCGGGCCUGCAGUCGAUACGGGCAGACUAGAGUGUGGUAGGGGAGACUGGAAUUCCUGGUGUAGCGGUGAAAUGCGCAGAUAUCAGGAGGAACACCGGUGGCGAAGGCGGGUCUCUGGGCCAUAACUGACGCUGAGGAGCGAAAGCGUGGGGAGCGAACAGG